rnacentral:lncRNA from 1 species
AGACACAGGGAUGGAUGUAAUUUGCAUUUGGCAGUUGCAUUCUGGAGUAAAAGAAAUUCAAUGGAGUCUGCAUAAACAAUGAUCAAAUAGUGGAUAAAUCAGAUGAAUCCAUUAUUUUCUUUCAUUUCAAGACUGACUGCAUAAUUUUACCAAAAAAAAAAAAGUUUCUCAUUAAAGAAAGGGGAAAUAUGGAAUGCUUUGGCUUUUUGCAUUAAAAAAUGGUAAGAAGCAGUAUUUUAAGUAUGUCACUAUAAAAAAAGGCUGACAAGCUGGGUAGCAGGAGCUGCAGUUAUUUUUGGCCUGUUAUUCCUUCCUCUCCACCUGCUCAGCAGUUCCAAAAAUUGGGGCUAGAAUUCCCUCCAGGCUGGGAAGAAGUCAUGAAAAACACCAUAAGAUGUAGAAAGAAGGGUUGAGUCUGGGGCUACAAUUGAGAAAAAUUCUUGCAGGCUCCGAACAGUAGUAGCUGAACCAAAGAGAGAACAAGAAUAACUGCUGUGACUGCUUCUUAGAUUUGCUAGCAUUUUCUUAUAUUGCUAUGCCAGUGUAAUAUAACUAGCAUGUGUUACUCAAUUCUUCAAGAAACAAAAACAAAAUGCUAACGUAUUGAAAAGGCAUAUGUUUGGAUGUUUAAUGCUGUGUACAACAUCUGUUAUAGUCUUCCUAGUGAAAAAUCUCUGAAAUGCUAAAAUGAAUGCUUUUUAAGACUUACAGCUCUUUGAUAUUUUGUAUUUUAUUUUCUCUCAUCCUAAAUGGUUGACUGAUCUUUAAUAUAGCAUGAAAUAACAGGGCAAAGUUAGUGAUUACUUACCUAGCCAGUGGGAUCCACAAGUGGCCUGAAAAUAUAGACACUGAACUGAAAAUCUUGAUGUUGCUAAUCUUGACAGGCUUUGUGUUAUAAGCAUAAAGCAGCAAAACCUGAAAAGAGAUGGAUUAUGUAAGCUAUAAUGUAGUAUGCUACAGUACACCUGAGGUAUUUGAGUCAUACUAGAUUAUAAUAUCGAAUUUGGUGUACUGCUGUAGACUCUGGUAACCGGCUUUCGGAAAAGGAGGAGAGUGGGGGUUCCUAUGAAUUUGU